AUUUUAAUCUUGUUUGAGAGUCUCAUUCAGAAAUUUAGCCCAAAUUUUUACACCCCAAUUUAGGGUGUAAAUUGGGUGUAAACAGAGGGGAAGGGAAGCAAGGGGAAUUUUUUCCCUCCUUCGCCCUCCUUCGCAAACACACCAUUUGUUUCUGUCUCAUUCUCGCUUUACCCUUUCUCCGUAACCGAGCGGGAUUAGUUGAUAGGGUGUCUCCCUCGUUCGUUCAAUUUCUUCAGGGAAAUCCUGCAGUUGCGGAGUUCUUUUCGAGGGGUGUUAUAGACUAUGAUGUUGGAUGAGUGGAGUUCAUCAUGGCAACGAAAUUCUCCACAAAAGCGCUAUCAUCAAUCACCAUAUCAUGACGCUUUCCUAGUGUAUCAUCAAGAUCUUCGCACUGUGAAUAACCAUCUGGAACUAAAGAUACACAAGUGUAGUAGCUAGAUGUCUUACACGGACUUCUUCAAACUAUUUUUGUCACUGGUUGUCUGGUGCAUUGCCUAUGCUACAGUUGCAAUUCUUGUCUCCAUCAGACUUUGUAAUUCUACCCACACCUAUAUAUUAUGAACUAGCAAAGAGUUCAAUAUAUCUUCCAUGGUCUUUAUACAGUCUACGGGCAUACAUUAACUUUCAGAUGAUACAAUGAAUGCUGCAGGACAGGUUUGUGCAAGUAAGGGAAGUCUAUUUGUUCUCACUGACAAGGGAUCUGUUCUUUUUUCAUUGGGAUGGAUCGGUUCUAAAGCUUGGGCUUUUCUGACAAGUGGUAUUCAGAUAAAGUUUGAAAUGAAAAUUCCCUGAAAAAUUAUAAUCCCUUUACAUCUUUUAAAGUAUAACGCUGACUGUUGCUAUAACUAACCAAGGUUAUCGAUAUAUUUGGUGACAAAGAGAAGCAACAGCAUGUCAGGGGUCCUAAAGCACACUGAGAUCAUGAUGAACAGAUAAAAAGGAUGAUGUGCAGUUAUCGAUGAGAAGAUGCAUAUUUUUAGCAAGGAGUGUAUGUGGUAGUUUCUUCUGGUUCUGUAUAAUGAAUUUUGUCUUCUGUCAGUUACAAGUAAUCAUCUUAAAAGUAACCGAAACAUGUUAUGGAGUAAGACAUCCAAGAUGUUGUUUCACAUGAAAAGUAUACUGAAUACAUUGUUAUUUGCUUUUAUGUUUUCAUAUUGAAUAAAUUUGAGGCUUUUGAUAUAUUGAGAUAUUAUUUAUUUCGGACA